rnacentral:rRNA from 1 species
UUCUAAGGGCGUUGAAGCAUGAUCGCAAGGACAUGUGGAGCGCUUAGAAGUGAGAAUGCCGGUGUGAGUAGCGAAAGACGGGUGAGAAUCCCGUCCACCGAUUGACUAAGGUUUCCAGAGGAAGGCUCGUCCGCUCUGGGUUAGUCGGGUCCUAAGCUGAGGCCGACAGGCGUAGGCGAUGGAUAACAGGUUGAUAUUCCUGUACCACCAUUAUUCGUUUUAAGCGAUGGGGGGACGCAGUAGGAUAGGCGAAGCGUGCUGUUGGAGUGCACGUCCAAGCAGUGAGAUUGAGUGUUAGGCAAAUCCGGCACUCUUAAGAUUGAGCUGUGAUGGGGAGAGGAACUUGUUCCUCGAGUCGUUGAUUUCACACUGCCGAGAAAAGCCUCUAGCUAGAAUAACGGUGCCCGUACCGCAAACCGACACAGGUAGUCAAGAUGAGAAUUCUAAGGUGAGCGAGCGAACUCUCGUUAAGGAACUCGGCAAAAUGACCCCGUAACUUCGGGAGAAGGGGUGCUCUUUGAGGUUCACGCUUCGAAGAGCCGCAGUGAAUAGGCCCAAGCGACUGUUUAUCAAAAACACAGGUCUCUGCUAAACCGUAAGGUGACGUAUAGGGGCUGACGCCUGCCCGGUGCUGGAAGGUUAAGAGGAGUGGUUAGCGCAAGCGAAGCUACGAAUCGAAGCCCCAGUAAACGGCGGCCGUAACUAUAACGGUCCUAAGGUAGCGAAAUUCCUUGUCGGGUAAGUUCCGACCCGCACGAAAGGCGUAACGAUUUGGGCACUGUCUCAACGAGAGACUCGGUGAAAUCAUAGUACCGGUGAAGAUGCCGGUUACCCGCGACAGGACGGAAAGACCCCGUGGAGCUUUACUGUAGCCUGAUAUUGAAAUUCGGUACAGUUUGUACAGGAUAGGUAGGAGCCUUAGAAGCGUGAGCGCUAGCUUACGUGGAGGCAUUGGUGGGAUACUACCCUAAUUGUAUUGGAUUUCUAACCCGCAGCACUUAUC